UGGACUCCAUUUGGUAACUACUAAGAAGUUCUCUGAAGACUGAUGGACAAUCACAUGUAUAGAAACUUGAGUAUACUGAAGCAGAAAUUUUGGACAGAAGAUUGUUGGAUUUAUGUUGAGAAGUAUGUUUCUUCCUUGCUCAUCAUGGUAGAGUUCAAACAGAGUCACACACAAAAACUAGAUCAACUGCAAUAGGACGGAAAUCCCACUACCCUGUAAGUACUAAACUGGGCAACAGACUCACUGAUAUAAACUUAUGGCAC
rnacentral:lncRNA from 1 species